UACGAAGGGUGGCAAACGUUGCUCGGAAAUUAUUGGGCGUAAAGCGCACGUAGGCGGCUUCGCAAGUCCCAUGUGAAAGCCCACGGCUUAACCGUGGAAGUGCAUGGGAAACUGCAGAGCUUGAGUACUUAAGAGGAUCGCGGAAUUCCCGGUGUAGAGGUGAAAUUCGUAGAUAUCUGGAGGAACACCGGUGGCGAAAGCGCGAGACUGGGCCGUAACUGACGCUGAGGAACGAAAGCCAGGGGAGCGAAAGGG
rnacentral:rRNA from 1 species